rnacentral:rRNA from 1 species
CGGGUGAGUAAUGUCUGAGAGACUGCCCGAUGGAGGGGGAUAACUACUGGAAACGGUAGCUAAUACCGCAUAACGUCGCAAGACCAAAGAGGGGACCUUCGGGCCUCUUGCCAUCGGAUGUGCCCAGAUGGGAUUAGCUAGUAGGUGGGGUAACGGCUCACCUAGGCGACGAUCCCUAGCUGGUCUGAGAGGAUGACCAGCCACACUGGAACUGAGACACGGCCCAG